rnacentral:rRNA from 1 species
GGCGCAAGGGUGCGUAACGCGUGAGCAACUUGCCCGGUUUCAGGGGGAUAACCGGUGGAAACGCCGACUAAUACCCAUAGCAUCACAUUGAGGCAUCUUAUGUGAUUAAAGAGAUUCGGAAACGGAUAGGCUCGCGUGACAUUAGCUAGUUGUGGGGUAACGGCCUACCCAAGUCGACGAUCGGUAGCCGAACUGAGAGGUUGAACGGCCACAUUGGGACUGAGACACGGCCCAGACUCCUACGGGAGGCAGCAGUGGGGGAUAUUGCACAAUGGGGGAAACCCUGAUGCAGCAAUGCCGCGUGAGGGAAGAAGGUCUUCGGAUUGUAAACCUAAGUUAUCAGGGACGAAACAAAUGACGGUACCUGAAGAGAAAGCUCCGGCUAACUACGUG